rnacentral:rRNA from 1 species
ACCUGACUGCUAUCGGAUUGAUACUAAGCCAUGCGAGUCAUUGUAGCAAUACAAGGCAUACGGCUCAGUAACGCGUAGUCAACCUAACCUAUGGACGGGAAUAACCUCGGGAAACUGAGAAUAAUGCCCGAUAGAACAUUAUGCCUGGAAUGGUUUAUGUUCCAAAUGAUUUAUCGCCGUAGGAUGGGACUGCGGCCUAUCAGUUUGUUGGUGAGGUAAUGGCCCACCAAGACUAUUACAGGUACGGGCUCUGAGAGGAGUAGCCCGGAGAUGGGUACUGAGACACGGACCCAGGCCCUAUGGGGCGCAGCAGGCGAGAAAACUUUGCAAUGUGCGAAAGCACGACAAGGUUAAUCCGAGUGGUUCCUGCUAAAGGAACCUUUUGUUAGUCCUAGAACCACUAACGAAUAAGGGGUGGGCAAGUUCUGGUGUCAGCCGCCGCGGUAAAACCAGCACCUCAAGUGGUCAGGAUGAUUAUUGGGCCUAAAGCAUCCGUAGCCGGCUCUGUAAGUUUUCGGUUAAAUCUGUACGCUUAACGUACAGGCUGCCGGGAAUACUGCAGAGCUAGGGAGUGGGAGAAGUAGACGGUACUCGGGAGGAAGUGGUAAAAUGCUUUGAUCUAUCGAUGACCACCUGUGGCGAAGGCGGUCUACCAGAACACGUCCGACGGUGAGGGAUGAAAGCUGGGGGAGCAAACCGGAUUAGAUACCCGGGUAGUCCCAGCUGUAAACUAUGCAAACUCAGUGAUGCAUUGGCUUGUGGCCAAUGCAGUGCUGCAGGGAAGCCGUUAAGUUUGCCGCCUGGGAAGUACGUACGCAAGUAUGAAACUUAAAGGAAUUGGCGGGGGAGCACCACAAGGGGUGAAGCCUGCGGUUC